CUUGCAUUCCUUGUUCUGCGAUGUUUUCUACGCGCGACGAUGAAAUUUCUCCACGCAGUACGCGUGUCUACUUAGAACUAUUUUCAGCGUGACAGUUUUUGUAUUUUCUUGUAGCCUGGGAACACCGUUCAAUUGGUGCGACAGAAACUAUGCAGCUUCCGUCUCACGCAUUGUAUGGAAACGGUUGAAUACCGUUUGUAGUUACUUUCUUGCCCUAGAGUUGAACUAGUAAAAGGUGCCCAUGCUGCGAGUGCAGUCGUAACGCUUUGACGUUGGAUCCGAGCCCAUGGAGAAAGUUGGAGCUGUAGAGCUGUAUGUUUUUGGACAAAGUCAUCAAUUCCAUUGCUCUUCCUAUGCCAAGUGGCCAG
rnacentral:lncRNA from 1 species